CAAUGAAUAUUUAAAUAGCUGCGGUAUUUUGACCGUACAAAGGUAGCAUAAUCAGUAGUUUCUUAAUUAGGAACUGGAAUGAAAGGUUUGAUAAAAAAAAAACUGUCUCAAUUUAAAAUUUGAAGAAUUUUAUUUUUUAGUUCAAAAGCUAAAAUAAUUUUUAAAGACGAGAAGACCCUAUAGAGUUUAAUUAUUAAUUUAAAUAAUUAAUUUAGAAUUUAAUCUAAAUAUUUAAAUAAAUAAUUUAGUUGGGGKGAUUAAAAAAUUUAAGUAACUUUUUUUUUUUUUUUACAAUAAUUAUUGAAUAUUUGAUCCAUAAAAAUGAUUAAAAGAUUAAAUUACCUUAGGGAUAACAGCGUAAUUUUUUUUUAGAGUUCUUAUCGAAAAAAGAGAUUGCGACCUCGAUGUUGGAUUAAAAUUUAAGUAUGG
rnacentral:rRNA from 1 species